rnacentral:rRNA from 1 species
AACGAACGCUGGCGGCAGGCUUAACACAUGCAAGUCGAACGCGUCCUUCGGGGUGCGUGGCAGACAGGUGAGUAACGCGUGGGAACGUGCCCUUCAGUUCGGAAUAACCCUGGGAAACUUGGGCUAAUACCGGAUACGUUCGCGAGCAGAAAGAUUUAUCGCUGAAGGAUCGGCCCGCGUCUGAUUAGCUAGUUGGUGGGGUAAUGGCCCACCAAGCCGACGAUCAGUAGCUGGUCUGAGAGAAUGAUCAGCCACAUUGGGACUGAGACACGGCCCAAACUCCAACGGGAGGCAGCAGUGGGGAAUAUUGGACAAUGGGCGCAAGCCUGAUCCAGCCAUGCCGCGUGAGUGAUGACGGCCUUAGGAUUGUAAAGCUCUUUCGUCCGGGACGAUAAUGACGGUACCGGAAGAAGAAGCCCCGGCUAACUUCGUGCCAGCAGCCGCCGUAA